ensembl:lncRNA novel transcript
AGACAGGAAAAACACCCAAAAGGUAAAGGCCAGGCUGGUUCAUGCCGGACACCUAACCCCCUGCUACCACAUGCUGUUUUCCACACUGGGUGCUGGCCUGUGGGAACCUGCACAAGUCGGGGGCAACAUGGUCCCAGGAAGUCUUUGACAGGCUGCCCCCUGCUGGCUGCUGCGGGAACCACAUGGCAGAUGGCUCCUGGUGUCCCCUGGAAGGGGUAUCAGAUUUCCUUCGUUCUUGGAAUCUCUGCGGUUUGGGAAGACAAACAGAACUGUUCUGCCCCGGGGGAGGGAGCUGCAAAUGCAAAAGAGGCUCCAUCACGCGGUGCAGAGCUGGGGGCACCGCUGGCCCACCCAUCCCUGUCGAGUCCUCUGACCCGUUUCUUCAUUUCUCAGUCAGGUCUUGCUCUGUCACCCAGGCUGGAGUGUGUGGUGCGAUCAUGCCUCACAGCAGCCUUGACAUCCCCAGGCUCAGAUGAUCCUCCCACCUCAGCCUCCUGAGUAGCCGCGACUACAGGCGCAUGCCACCACACCCAGGGUCCCAUCCAGAUACCACAUGACACCCGGUUGUCCUGUCUUCGGAGGCUCCUCCUGGCUGGGACAGCUUCUCAGACUUUCCUUGCUGCGAUGGCUGCUCAAGCUUUGAGGAGUACAGUCAGUGUUCUAUAGAACGUCUCUCUCGCUACUGAAAUUCGUCUAAUGUUUUU